rnacentral:rRNA from 1 species
CCUACGGGAGGCAGCAGUGAGGAAUAUUGGUCAAUGGACGCAAGUCUGAACCAGCCAUGCCGCGUGCAGGAAGACGGCUCUAUGAGUUGUAAACUGCUUUUGUACGAGGGUAAACGCAGAUACGCGUAUCUGUCUGAAAGUAUCUUACGAAUAAGGAUCGGCUAACUACGUGCCAGCAGCCGCGGUAAUACGGAGGAUCCAAGCGUUAUCCGGAUUUAUUGGGUUUAAAGGGUGCGUAGGCGGUCGGAUAAGUUAGAGGUGAAAUCCCGAGGCGCAACUUCGGAAUUGCCUCUGAUACUGUUCGGCGAGAGAGUAGUUGCGGUAGGCGGAAUGUAUGGUGUAGCGGUGAAAUGCUUAGAGAUCAUACAGAACACCGAUUGCGAAGGCAGCUUACCAAGCUACUUCUGACGUUGAGGCACGAAAGCGUGGGGAGCAAACAGGAGUAGAUACCCCUGUAGUC